CUAAAGUGAGAGACAGCAUACAUCCAUUUAUCUGUAGAUAUAUCACGUUAAGAAGGAGAGGAAUCUGCGCACACAACUGGCGAGUUAGAAAACUUUGUGGAAGAACAUGCAACCUGCAUUAACGUUCUGAAGAUGACUUUUACAGUAAAAAGGUCAGAAACGUAUUUUUCCAAGUUCACGCACGAAUACUGUCCGGAAUAUUCCUAUUACAGCUUCUGAGCACACUGGACUUUUUUAUAUUAACAAUUGAAUUAUCAUGUUAAAUAAUCAUUCGAAUGAAAAUACCGCAAAUAAAUAUCGGGCUAUGGAAAAUUUA